AGUGAACGCUGGCGGUAGGCCUAACACAUGCAAGUCGAACGGCAGCACAGUAAGAGCUUGCUCUUACGGGUGGCGAGUGGCGGACGGGUGAGGAAUACAUCGGAAUCUACUUUUUCGUGGGGGAUAACGUAGGGAAACUUACGCUAAUACCGCAUACGACCUACGGGUGAAAGCAGGGGAUCUUCGGACCUUGCGCGAUUGAAUGAGCCGAUGUCGGAUUAGCUAGUUGGCGGGGUAAAGGCCCACCAAGGCGACGAUCCGUAGCUGGUCUGAGAGGAUGAUCAGCCACACUGGAAAUGAGACACGGUCCAGACUACUACGGGAGGCAGCAGUGGGGAAUAUUGGACAAUGGGCGCAAGCCUGAUCCAGCCAUACCGCGUGGGUGAAGAAGGCCUUCGGGUUGUAAAGCCCUUUUGUUGGGAAAGAAAAGCAGCAGGUUAAUACCCCGCUGUUCUGACGGUACCCAAAGAAUAAGCACCGGCUAACUUCGUG
rnacentral:rRNA from 1 species